GGAGAGGUACCCGAAGUGGUCCAACGGGGGCCGGGCCCUGGUCCGGCCGGGCGACAGCCUGCGCAGUGUUCGAAUCCUGCCCUCUCCG
rnacentral:tRNA from 1 species